AGUCACUGACAUUAGAUACCCCCGUAGUCCAGGGUGUAAACGCUGCAGACUUGGUGUUGGAAGUCCUUUGGGGGCAUUCAGUGCCGGAGAGAAGUUGUCAAGUCUGCUACUUGGGGAGUACGUCCGCAAGGAUGAAACUUAAAGGAAUUGGCGGGGGAGCACCGCAACGGGAGGAGCGUGCGGUUUAAUUGGAUUCAACACCGUAAACUCACCAGGGAAGACUGUUACAUGAAAGCCGAGAUGAAGACUCUGCUAGAUUUUCAG
rnacentral:rRNA from 1 species